GCCGGGGUCUCCUAGCUCGGUAGGGAGCCAGCCUGGAAAGCUGGUGUCCGUACGGACUCGAGGGUUCGAAUCCCUCUCCCGGCGCCA
rnacentral:tRNA from 1 species